rnacentral:rRNA from 2 species
AAUGGGUCAGCGACUUAUAUUCUGUAGCAAGGUUAACCGAAUAGGGGAGCCGGAGGGAAACCGAGUCUUAAUUGGGCGUUAAGUUGCAGGGUAUAGACCCGAAACCCGGUGAUCUAGCCAUGGGCAGGUUGAAGGUUGGGUAACACUAACUGGAGGACCGAACCGACUAAUGUUGAAAAAUUAGCGGAUGACCUGUGGCUGGGGGUGAAAGGCCAAUCAAACCGGGAGAUAGCUGGUUCUCCCCGAAAGCUAUUUAGGUAGCGCCUCGUGAAUUCAUCUCCGGGGGUAGAGCACUGUUUCGGCUAGGGGGCCAUCCCGGCUUACCAACCCGAUGCAAACUGCGAAUACCGGAGAAUGUUAUCACGGGAGACACACGGCGGGUGCUAACGUCCGUCGUGAAGAGGGAAACAACCCAGACCGCCAGCUAAGGUCCCAAAGUCAUGGUUAAGUGGGAAACGAUGUGGGAAGGCCCAGACAGCCAGGAUGUUGGCUUAGAAGCAGCCAUCAUUUAAAGAAAGCGUAAUAGCUCACUGGUCGAGUCGGCCUGCGCGGAAGAUGUAACGGGGCUAAACCAUGCACCGAAGCUGCGGCAGCGACACUGUGUGUUGUUGGGUAGGGGAGCGUUCUGUAAGCCUGCGAAGGUGGCCUGUGAGGGUUGCUGGAGGUAUCAGAAGUGCGAAUGCUGACAUAAGUAACGAUAAAGCGGGUGAAAAGCCCGCUCGCCGGAAGACCAAGGGUUCCUGUCCAACGUUAAUCGGGGCAGGGUGAGUCGACCCCUAAGGCGAGGCCGAAAGGCGUAGUCGAUGGGAAACGGGUUAAUAUUCCCGUACUUGGUGUUACUGCGAAGGGGGGACGGAGAAGGCUAUGUUGGCCGGGCGACGGUUGUCCCGGUUUAAGCGUGUAGGUGUGUGUUCCAGGUAAAUCCGGUUCACUUUAACACUGAGGCGUGACGACGAGGCACUACGGUGCUGAAGCAACAAAUGCCCUGCUUCCAGGAAAAGCCUCUAAGCAUCAGGUAACAUCAAAUCGUACCCCAAACCGACACAGGUGGUCAGGUAGAGAAUACCAAGGCGCUUGAGAGAACUCGGGUGAAGGAACUAGGCAAAAUGGUGCCGUAACUUCGGGAGAAGGCACGCUGACACGUAGGUGAAGUGAUUUACUCAUGGAGCUGAAGUCAGUCGAAGAUACCAGCUGGCUGCAACUGUUUAUUAAAAACACAGCACUGUGCAAACACGAAAGUGGACGUAUACGGUGUGACGCCUGCCCGGUGCCGGAAGGUUAAUUGAUGGGGUCAGCGCAAGCGAAGCUCCUGAUCGAAGCCCCGGUAAACGGCGGCCGUAACUAUAACGGUCCUAAGGUAGCGAAAUUCCUUGUCGGGUAAGUUCCGACCUGCACGAAUGGCGUAAUGAUGGCCAGGCUGUCUCCACCCGAGACUCAGUGAAAUUGAACUCGCUGUGAAGAUGCAGUGUACCCGCGGCAAGACGGAAAGACCCCGUGAACCUUUACUAUAGCUUGACACUGAACAUUGAGCCUUGAUGUGUAGGAUAGGUGGGAGGCUUUGAAGUGUGGACGCCAGUCUGCAUGGAGCCGACCUUGAAAUACCACCCUUUAAUGUUUGAUGUUCUAACGUGGACCCGUUACCCGGGUUGCGGACAGUGUCUGGUGGGUAGUUUGACUGGGGCGGUCUCCUCCUAAAGAGUAACGGAGGAGCACGAAGGUUGGCUAAUCCUGGUCGGACAUCAGGAGGUUAGUGCAAUGGCAUAAGCCAGCUUGACUGCGAGCGUGACGGCGCGAGCAGGUGCGAAAGCAGGUCAUAGUGAUCCGGUGGUUCUGAAUGGAAGGGCCAUCGCUCAACGGAUAAAAGGUACUCCGGGGAUAACAGGCUGAUACCGCCCAAGAGUUCAUAUCGACGGCGGUGUUUGGCACCUCGAUGUCGGCUCAUCACAUCCUGGGGCUGAAGUAGGUCCCAAGGGUAUGGCUGUUCGCCAUUUAAAGUGGUACGCGAGCUGGGUUUAGAACGUCGUGAGACAGUUCGGUCCCUAUCUGCCGUGGGCGCUGGAGAACUGAGGGGGGCUGCUCCUAGUACGAGAGGACCGGAGUGGACGCAUCACUGGUGUUCGGGUUGUCAUGCCAAUGGCACUGCCCGGUAGCUAAAUGCGGAAGAGAUAAGUGCUGAAAGCAUCUAAGCACGAAACUUGCCCCGAGAUGAGUUCUCCCUGAGACUUAGAGUCUCCUGAAGGAACGUUGAAGACGACGACGUUGAUAGGCCGGGUGUGUAAGCGCAGCGAUGCGUUGAGCUAACCGGUACUAAUGAACCGUGAGGCUUAACCUUACAACGCCGAAG